rnacentral:rRNA from 1 species
CCUACGGGAGGCAGCAGUGGGGAAUAUUGGACAAUGGGCGCAAGCCUGAUCCAGCCAUGCCGCGUGAGUGAUGAAGGCCUUAGGGUUGUAAAGCUCUUUCACCGAUGAAGAUAAUGACGGUAGUCGGAGAAGAAGCCCCGGCUAACUCCGUGCCAGCAGCCGCGGUAAU